rnacentral:lncRNA from 1 species
UUUGAAAUCUCCAAUGGAAAACAUAAUUGGAUAGAACUGUGAAAAACAAACAACUUUUAAAAGUUUUUUAAUGUCACCUACAUAUUGUGAGAUAUCACGAGAAAAGAUGUCAUCACAUGUAUCGCCGAUGGGGCUAUUUAAGCAAUAAGAAGAAUUCGACAGAGAUCAUCUGUGUUCAUUGCGGAACAUUAGGCCUAUUGAAGCAGCAAAGAGCAGUACUGUAUUAUGCAGAUUUAAGGCUAAUUCGGAUAUUUGAUGAUAGUACUCGAACCAGGUCCGACAAGUCAUUCACCAUCACAGUUCGGCAUGGAGCCAUACUCAAAAACA